rnacentral:rRNA from 1 species
AUUGAACGCUGGCGGCAUGCUUUACACAUGCAAGUCGGACGGUAACAGGUUAAGCUGACGAGUGGCGAACGGGUGAGUAAUGCAUCGGAACGUGCCCAAUCGUGGGGGAUAACGCAGCGAAAGCUGCGCUAAUACCGCAUACGAUCUGAGGAUGAAAGCGGGGGACCGUAAGGCCUCGCGCGGUCGGAGCGGCCGAUGUCAGAUUAGGUAGUUGGUGGGGUAAAGGCCCACCAAGCCGACGAUUUGUAGCUGGUCUGAAAGGACGACCAGCCACACUGGGACUGAGACACGGCCCAGACUCCUACGGGAGGCAGCAGUGGGGAAUUUUGGACAAUGGGCGAAAGCCUGAUCCAGCAAUGCCGCGUGCAGGAAGAAGGCCUUCGGGUUGUAAACUGCUUUUGUACGGAGCGAAAAGGUCCUUUCUAAUACAAGGGGCUCAUGACGGUACCGUAAGAAUAAGCACCGGCUAACUACGUGCCAGCAGCCGCCGUAA